CCUUCUGGAAAACUAGAAGUGGAGGAUCCAAGCAUAAAGCUCACAACUCCCUCACCCUCCAGGUUGACGUAAUUGCAACCGAGAAAAGAGUUUUAAGUGUUAACAAAUGAAAGUUGCAUAUAGUCAUGGGUUCAAAGGGUUUACCUGUGAGGGCAAAUAGUACCCAGGGCAGAUCCCAUGCAGGAGCGACAGAGGGUGUGUCUGGAUGGAGAUAUGCCAAACCCUUCGGAAACUGUUUGAUCUCCUGGAGAGCAAAUAGAGAAAGAGCCCAAGGGGGGGGGAUUGGAGGGCCAAUAUGGCAGCCAGGUGAACCCUGACUGAUGACAUGGAAAGUCCAGAUCUCGAGUCCCAGCAAAUAUGAGGAUGGUUGGCACUGACACCGAACGUGGAUCAACAAUACCGAUUGAUUUUACAUACUCUGAAAACCGCUUCCACUUCGCCUUGUAUGAGGACAUAGUAUAUGGAUUCCUACAUGCUGAAAGAAUGUCCUUCAACUCUGAGGAGCAGGCAGUUUGAUCUGCCAUGCUGUUAGUGUCUGUACAUCUGGGUGAAGCACUCUCCUCUUCCAUUGUGAUAGUAGCAUUGGGAGGAGUGGGAGACGGAUGAAUAGCCUCUUGGACAGGUGUAGAAGGCGUGGGGACCAUGGGCACCAAGGCCACCAGAGCACCACCAGGAUGCAGUUCCCACCUUCGUACUCCAGCUUCUGAGAAUCCUUGGAAGAAGUGGGAUCAGCUGAAACAGGAAGACAAAUAGGCCUAACCAUGAUAUCACCAGAUAGUGAGGAAGAAGAAGAUACUGACAGGCCUCCAGCCGAUGCAGGGGUACAUGGGGGGCAGAGCCCGGCCGUCAGUUCCCAAGAAAUAGCCAAAGCAGGUCCGGCUGCUGUUCCAGAACAUACACAGCAGUCUGAGGCAGCAGAGUCAGGGAUUGAGGAAUCAGGUGAUGAGUUAAAUAGGCAACCCCCAAUGACUCUGCAACCGAGGAGAGUCACAAGACAGCACCAACAGCCAGAAACCGUCAGGAGAAGUAGGUGGCUCUUUCAGAAGGUUGAUAAGCCUGGAAUUCCUGCCAGCUGAGAGUUAUCAGCUCAGACUAUAAAUCACAUCUGCAGCCUGCAGUCAGGUGCUGCAAGACAACACACGUCUUUCGCUGAGCAUUACCUGCCCCUAACCUGAGCCAGAGAGAUUCCUAGCCGUGUUUUAGCCUCUGCGACCCAGACUGGUUUCUGACUGGAACACUGUCUCUUGCCGUGCCCUGCUCUGCUUCUGGCUCUGAAGACUCAACAACUUCUCUGCUUCGUCCCUUUCUGGACAGACCCCCACACCGGGUGGCUUGGUUGCUGACAGUCUCAAAGAUGAGCUCCCCAGCCUUCUUCGGAGGCAUCUGUCAUCACUUGUGCAUGUGGCUUUUGAACAGAGUGGACUGAUGAAGAUUUUGUUGUAAAAUCCACCAUUUUAGGGCAGCUUGAAUAUGUCCCGGAAGAGUCACUAGUCUGGAACUGUGAUGCCUUAUUCGGUGAAAAAUGUCCAGAAACCAACGCUGCAGAGGUCUUACAUGCAGCCAGGCGGUUGAUGAGAUAGCAGUCAUAGAGGCCAUCAGGCCUAGCUACACUGCACUUGGCGUACCCUGUGUGUAGCAAAAAGUGGCAUCAGAGAAGCCAGUUCCUUGAUCUGACAGAUACGUUCUUGCAGCAGACGCACUGUGGCUCUGAUGGAAUCAAAGAUCAUUCGCAAGAACCUUAUCCUGUGCAUGAGAGCCAACUGAGAUUUCUUGUAAUUUACAUUCAGACCCAAGAGCAUGAGUGUUUGCUGAAGGUGGUCUUGAAGAAGCUCUGGAGACUUUGCAGACAGUAUCCAGUCAUCCAAAUAUGGAAAAAUUUGAAUCCCUUUCUCUUGUAAGAGUCCCAUAAUGGCUGCCAUGCACUUCGUGAAUACCCUUGGGGCGAAGGAUAAUCCAAAAGGCAUGGCCUUGAACUGGAAAGUGUUUGUGCCUGCCUGGAAAUGUAAGUAUUUCCUGUGCUGUGGAUGGAUGGAUAUGUGAUAGUAUGCAUCUUCUAGGUCUAUGGAAACGAACUACAUCCCCUGUGAUAGAACUGCUAGAAUAUCCACUAUAGUGAGCAUUUAGAAACACCUGCAGUCUACAUAGGAAUUGAGUCUUAGAUCUAAUAUCGACCAAAGGCCACUGUCCCUCUUUGGUAUAGUAAAGUAUGGGGAGAAAAGACCGUCUUCCACAUGGGGGUGGGUGGGUAUUGGUUCUAUUGCCCCUUUUCAGAGAAGAGUAUCUAUUUCUCCCUGAAGAGUAGCGUGCAAAGGUGUGACCUUUCUUCCCAAAGCUUGGAGGUGUUCCACAAAUUCUAUAGCGUUGCACAGAUGAACGAUAGUGAAGAUCCCGACAUUGGAAGUGAUACGUUCCCAUUCUUCCAGGUACGGGCGCAGACGCGUUCCAAUCCAGGGGUAGUCACAAUCUUUUGUUGAAAGAAGAAGACUUGGGCUUUUGCUGACCAGACUUGGAGUUCGAGAAAGGUCGCUUCUUGUACUGUUGGGUGAACUGGCCAGGCUGUCAAACGGCAGGUCUUCUACACGUGUUCUCGCCUCUGGGUUCAAUUCUGAAGAAUGCAGCCACGCAUGUCGUCACAGCAAAACUGCCAAUGCUCUAGCAGCACAAUAUGUGGAAUGAUGAGAAGUGUGUAACAGUUUGCUUAAACUACAUCCGUCACGCUGUAAGGCAAGAGCAUUUCUACAAAGAACGAAAGGCACAAGGGCGGGCUGGCUUCUGGUCUCCGUUUGUAAGCGAAUGUAGAUCUGUGAUCUCCGUGAUGGCACAAAUAUAAACAGGGUACCCUUAUUUUCAUUAGUGCAUGGAGAAUCCAGUUGUGGAUGGUGAUGGACUACAAACCCUGGC